UAAAUAUGAUUUAUGUUAGGA
rnacentral:piRNA from 1 species